GACGUAGGGUGCGAGCGUUUGUCCGGAAUUAUUGGGCGUAAAGAGCUCGUAGGCGGCUUGUCACGUCGGGUGUGAAAGACCGGGGCUUAACUCCGGUUCUGCAUUCGAUACGGGCUAGCUAGAGUGUGGUAGGGGGAGAUCGGAAUUCCUGGUGUAGCGGUGAAAUGCGCAGAUAUCAGGAGGAACACCGGUGGCGAAGGCGGAUCUCUGGGCCAUUACUGACGCUGAGGAGCGAAAGCGUGGGGAGCGAACAGG
rnacentral:rRNA from 1 species